rnacentral:pre_miRNA from 1 species
UGGACAGAUUAUUGUAUUCGACUGUAUUCACGGCAUGAAACAGGGGAUUACACUGCUUUUAAAACAAAAAGUAAAUCAAUUAACAUAAUAGACUCCU